AGAGUUUGAUCCUGGCUCAGGAUGAACGCUAGCUACAGGCUUAACACAUGCAAGUCGAGGGGCAGCAUGGUCUUAGCUUGCUAAGGCCGAUGGCGACCGGCGCACGGGUGAGUAACACGUAUCCAACCUGCCGUCUACUCUUGGACAGCCUUCUGAAAGGAAGAUUAAUACAAGAUGGCAUCAUGAGUCCACAUGUUCACAUGAUUAAAGGUAUUCCGGUAGACGAUGGGGAUGCGUUCCAUUAGAUAGUAGGCGGGGUAACGGCCCACCUAGUCUUCGAUGGAUAGGGGUUCUGAGAGGAAGGUCCCCCACAUUGGAACUGAGACACGGUCCAAACUCCUACGGGAGGCAGCAGUGAGGAAUAUUGGUCAAUGGGCGAGAGCCUGAACCAGCCAAGUAGCGUGAAGGAUGACUGCCCUAUGGGUUGUAAACUUCUUUUAUAAAGGAAUAAAGUCGGGUAUGGAUACCCGUUUGCAUGUACUUUAUGAAUAAGGAUCGGCUAACUCCGUGCCAGCAGCCGCGGUAAUACGGAGGAUCCGAGCGUUAUCCGGAUUUAUUGGGUUUAAAGGGAGCGUAGAUGGAUGUUUAAGUCAGUUGUGAAAGUUUGCGGCUCAACCGUAAAAUUGCAGUUGAUACUGGAUAUCUUGAGUGCAGUUGAGGCAGGCGGAAUUCGUGGUGUAGCGGUGAAAUGCUUAGAUAUCACGAAGAACUCCGAUUGCGAAGGCAGCCUGCUAAGCUGCAACUGACAUUGAGGCUCGAAAGUGUGGGUAUCAAACAGGAUUAGAUACCCUGGUAGUCCACACGGUAAACGAUGAAUACUCGCUGUUUGCGAUAUACGGCAAGCGGCCAAGCGAAAGCGUUAAGUAUUCCACCU
rnacentral:rRNA from 1 species